rnacentral:rRNA from 1 species
CGCAGCCGCGGUAAUUCCAGCUCCAAUAGCGUAUAUUAAAGUUGUUGCAGUUAAAAAGCUCGUAGUUGAAUUUCGGGAUCAAAUUGUCGGUCGUGCCUCGGUACGCACUGGUAUUAUUGGUUCCUACCUUCUGAAGAACCGCGAUGUCAUUAAUUUGGUGUCGUGGGGAAUCAGGACUGUUACUUUGAAAAAAUUAGAGUGUUUAAAGCAGGCUUACGCUUGAAUACAUUAGCAUGGAAUAAUGAAAUAGGACGUUUGAUUCUAUUUUGUUGGUUUCUAGGAUUGACGUAAUGAUUAAUAGGGAUAGUUGGGGGCAUUAGUAUUCAAUUGUCAGAGGUGAAAUUCUUGGAUUUAUUGAAGACUAACUACUGCGAAAGCAUUUGCCAAGGAUGUUUUCAUUAAUCAAGAACGAAAGUUAGGGGAUCGAAGACGAUCAGAUACCGUCGUAGUCUUAACCAUAAACUAUGCCGACUAGGGAUCGGAUGAUGUUAAUUUUUUAAAUUUAGACUCAUU